CUCAGAGUACCUACGAUAUUCAACAUUUUGGGGCACUCAAUAGAUUUUUAUACCGCAUGAUUACCAUACACAUCACACGUGUUGUAUAUGUUUUUAUAAAACUGGUGAAAAAAAUUGCCACUAAAAAAAACCAGGAGGGGAAGGGCAUUAAACAAUUGUGUACUCAGGGUGGCAAAAUCAUAAAUACAUAACUGAUUAUGAUUUAGUGCAGCAUUUAGGCUUAGGUCCAUAGUAAUCCAUAUAAAUUUUUUCAAAAAAUUUAUUUUUAGAUCAUAGCCUAAGGUCUCUCAUUUGUUUCAUAUAUUAAUAACAAUAUUAAUAUAUUAAUUCGAUGAUUGAAAAUUUAAAAAAAAUAUUUAAUUCCAAAGGGUCGUAAAACAAAAAAAUGUGGAACGCUUCACGAUUUUGCGUGUCAUCCUUGCGCAGGGGCCAUGCUAAUCUUCUCUGUAUCGUUCCAAUUUUAGUAUAUGUACUGCCGAAGCAAGUACAUUUGUUACUGUGCCGAAUGCUUUUUAUAUAUAGCGCAGUGUUGUCUGAACGUCACAUACGAGAGCAGGUAUCGCUUGUUCUGAACAUAAAGAGUGGAACACAAACACCGGCAGAUGGGGCGAGCUACAUCCGGAACACAAUGGGCAUAACAAUAUUAUUAUAUUAAUUGUUUUUUCGUUCGAGACCGUAAUUUUGCCGUAAUGGCGUAAUCUUCUGUUGGUCGUUGGAAUUACUUUUUUUGGAAAAUUUUAUUUUAUUUUUUUUAUCGAAUCAUAUAAUAUUUUUACACCGUAACCCGUUUGAAAUAUUACAUUAUAAUGUCUAAAAUAAAUUCGCCCGGAAACGUUAGUUUUUUAAUGAUUCAAAACGUUAUAUUGGAAAAAUAUGCUUUUGGUACCUAUUUCAGGUCGAGCCUGGGCUUAACCGGCUCUCCCCGUGUGCACGCCUAUGUCUACCUUAUACACUAAGGCCAGGAACAAAGCUCAAAACUAUGAACUAAUGUGUCCACAAAACUUGAAGAUGACACAGUGGAACACUGUAAUUAUAUAAUUAAUUUAACUAUAGUGUAAUCACACAAUCAUAGAUGUAAAUAUAUAAUAUUAUGAACAACACAUAAAACUUGAGCAUUUAGCAUAUUGUAAGCUGUUUGUAUUUGUCACAUAAUAAAUAUUUUAAGUAUUAUUAUACAGAUAAAGUAUAUUAAUAGUAAAAUGUAAUAAAAAAUAAAAGUAAAUAAAUGUUUUAACAUAUUUCAUAUUAUCACAAUAGUUUUUAAUCCAUGCUCUUGAUUAAAUCUAUAGACAAUAUGCAUGACAUAAAUAACAUAACCAACACUAUUCUAACCUAUGUGAUAGAAUAAAAUAUUGAAAAAUAAUUACAUUUUUUACAAGAGAGUACAAUAAUAAAUUUAAGAAGUUAGACCUUUGAAAUAUUUAACAUACUGUUUGCUCGUGCUCAUUAUAAUAUUGAUAAGUAGAUACAUAGGUACUUAAAAUCUAAAAUGUAUUUAGAUCUAAAUAGUUUACUUGAUUAUAAACGAAUACAAAUUAACUUACAGUUUAUGUAUUAAAAAAUAAAAUAAUAAUAUAAAUACUUAGAUCGAAUAUUAUACAGUCAAACAAAAAAUGUUAUAUUAGUAUAUUAUAUUUUAAUUUUAAAAUACUGAUUUACAAAAAAAAAUGUGUAAAAAUAUAAUAAAUCUGAUUAAGUCUAAAAAUAUUAAACAAUUUCAAAUACUUAUACCUAUCCUAUAAAAUAUGUAGGUAUUUUAAAAUAAUAAUAUAUUUUACUACCUAUUACUCUUUGUAUCGUGAUGCAAAAA